UACGAAGGGGGCUAGCGUUGUUCGGAAUUACUGGGCGUAAAGGGCGCGUAGGCGGUUUUGUAAGUUGGAUGUGAAAGCCCAGGGCUCAACCCUGGAACUGCAUUCAAGACUGCAAGACUUGAAUUCGGUAGAGGUUGGUGGAAUUCCCAGUGUAGAGGUGAAAUUCGUAGAUAUUGGGAAGAAUAUCCGUGGCGAAGGCGGCCAACUGGACCGACAUUGACGCUGAGGCGCGAAAGCGUGGGGAGCAAACAGGAUUAGAUACCCUGGUAGUCCACGCCGUAAACGAUGUAUGCUAGACGUUGGAAACCUCUGGUUUCUUGUGUCGCAGCUAACGCAUUAAGCAUACCGCCUGGGGAGUACGGCCGCAAGGUUGAA
rnacentral:rRNA from 1 species